rnacentral:misc_RNA from 1 species
GAGAAUUAGAAUGGGUGAGAAGAGAAAUAGAAAGGGAUGAGAUUAGAAUUAGAGAAGAAGAGAGAAAGAGGUAUUCUGCAUUUGUUAGUGAUUCUAGGAAUGCCCAAUUACAGCCAUUCUUCCCCUAUUUAUGCUAACCGCUACAAAAUAACAGAAUAUUGCCCACCUAAGUCAACUUAUCCAGCCCAGCCAGCUCAUCUAGCUCAUCCCAUCCCUUAGUCGUAACAGCUG